rnacentral:misc_RNA from 1 species
GAAAUGCGAUAAGUAAUGUGAAUUGCAGAAUUCAGUGAAUCAUCGAAUCUUUGAACGCACCUUGCGCUCCUUGGUAUUCCGAGGAGCAUGCCUGUUUGAGUGUCAUGGAAUUCUCAACUCUAUUUGCUUUUGUGAAUAGAGCUUGGAUUUGGAGGUUUAUUGCUGGUACUUGUGAUCUGCUCCUCUUGAAUGCAUUAGCUCGAACCUUUGCGGAUCAGCUAUCGGUGUGAUAAUUGUCUACGCCGUUGCAGUGAAGCAUAUCAAUGGGCUCGGCUUCCAAUCGUCCUUUACUGGACAAUGACUUUGACCUUUGACCUCAAAUCAGGUAGGAUUACCCGCUGAACUUAAGC